rnacentral:rRNA from 1 species
GUACGACGGAGCACGUGAAAUUCCGUCGGAAUCUGGGAGGACCAUCUCCUAAGGCUAAAUACUCUCUAGUGACCGAUAGUGAACCAGUACCGUGAGGGAAAGGUGAAAAGCACCCCGGAAGGGGAGUGAAAUAGAACCUGAAACCGUGUGCUUACAAGUAGUCAGAGCCCGUUAAUGGGUGAUGGCGUGCCUUUUGUAGAAUGAACCGGCGAGUUACGAUUUGAUGCAAGGUUAAGCAGUAAAUGUGGAGCCGUAGCGAAAGCGAGUCUGAAUAGGGCGUUUAGUAUUUGGUCGUAGACCCGAAACCAGGUGAUCUACCCUUGGUCAGGUUGAAGUUCAGGUAACACUGAAUGGAGGACCGAACCGACUUACGUUGAAAAGUGAGCGGAUGAACUGAGGGUAGCGGAGAAAUUCCAAUCGAACCUGGAGAUAGCUGGUUCUCUCCGAAAUAGCUUUAGGGCUAGCCUCAAGUGAUGAUUAUUGGAGGUAGAGCACUGUUUGGACGAGGGGCCCCUCUCGGGUUACCGAAUUCAGACAAACUCCGAAUGCCAAUUAAUUUAACUUGGGAGUCAGAACAUGGGUGAUAAGGUCCGUGUUCGAAAGGGAAACAGCCCAGACCACCAGCUAAGGUCCCAAAAUAUAUGUUAAGUGGAAAAGGAUGUGGCGUUGCCCAGACAACUAGGAUGUUGGCUUAGAAGCAGCCAUCAUUUAAAGAGUGCGUAAUAGCUCACUAGUCGAGUGACACUGCGCCGAAAAUGUACCGGGGCUAAACAUAUUACCGAAGCUGUGGAUUGUCCUUUGGACAAUGGUAGGAGAGCGUUCUAAGGGCGUUGAAGCAUGAUCGUAAGGACAUGUGGAGCGCUUAGAAGUGAGAAUGCCGGUGUGAGUAGCGAAAGACGGGUGAGAAUCCCGUCCACCGAUUGACUAAGGUUUCCAGAGGAAGGCUCGUCCGCUCUGGGUUAGUCGGGUCCUAAGCUGAGGCCGACAGGCGUAGGCGAUGGAUAACAGGUUGAUAUUCCUGUACCACCUAUAAUCGUUUUAAUCGAUGGGGGGACGCAGUAGGAUAGGCGAAGCGUGCGAUUGGAUUGCACGUCUAAGCAGUAAGGCUGAGUAUUAGGCAAAUCCGGUACUCGUUAAGGCUGAGCUGUGAUGGGGAGAAGACAUUGUGUCUUCGAGUCGUUGAUUUCACACUGCCGAGAAAAGCCUCUAGAUAGAAAAUAGGUGCCCGUACCGCAAACCGACACAGGUAGUCAAGAUGAGAAUUCUAAGGUGAGCGAGCGAACUCUCGUUAAGGAACUCGGCAAAAUGACCCCGUAACUUCGGGAGAAGGGGUGCUCUUUAGGGUUAACGCCCAGAAGAGCCGCAGUGAAUAGGCCCAAGCGACUGUUUAUCAAAAACACAGGUCUCUGCUAAACCGUAAGGUGAUGUAUAGGGGCUGACGCCUGCCCGGUGCUGGAAGGUUAAGAGGAGUGGUUAGCUUCUGCGAAGCUACGAAUCGAAGCCCCAGUAAACGGCGGCCGUAACUAUAACGGUCCUAAGGUAGCGAAAUUCCUUGUCGGGUAAGUUCCGACCCGCACGAAAGGCGUAACGAUUUGGGCACUGUCUCAACGAGAGACUCGGUGAAAUCAUAGUACCUGUGAAGAUGCAGGUUACCCGCGACAGGACGGAAAGACCCCGUGGAGCUUUACUGUAGCCUGAUAUUGA